GACGGAGGGGCAAGCGUUGUUCGGAUUCAUUGGGCGUAAAGGGUGCGUAGGCGGCGCGGUAAGUCGGGUGUGAAAUCUCGGGCUUAAACUCCGAAACUGCAUUCGAUACUGCCGUGCUUGAGGACUGGAGAGGAGACUGGAAUUUACGGUGUAGCGGUGAAAUGCGUAGAUAUCGUAAGGAAGACCAGUGGCGAAGGCGGGUCUCUGGACAGUUCCUGACGUGAGGCACGAAGGCCAGGGGAGCAAACGGG
rnacentral:rRNA from 1 species